UCUACGUUUCUUUGGAGUUAUAUUGAUUCACUCUCAAUCAUUCAAUUUUUCUUUAUUUUCUAUCUUAAUGAGUGAUGCUAUCCUUUCAACUCUCAUUGUUUCUCCUCUUAUAAAAACCCUUUUGUAGAGGCUUACACCGUUUCUUCAAUGGAUAACAAUCCCUCAAUCCUACCUCUUUGGCUCCUCACCAGCGCACUAUAUAUCGCGUUCGUCACCGACUUCAAGAAGUGUUAUUGGGUAGAAAGAAGCUUUCAGGAAGUCCAAGGAAGAUAUUGAUUCUCUCAUCAAAAAACAUAAUGUGGGGUCUCAAAUGUAGUUCAUGUUGCUUUGUAUGAGCAGAAUCAGAAUGAAAAGCCUUCCUCUGAUUUAUAAUGUAGUUCAUGUUGCUUUC